UUGCUAAAACAGCUUCACAAUGUCUGUUAUGAAUAGGAAACAAAUCGGAAAUCAUUUUUAAAAAAUGAAAUCAAAUUUUUGAUGGUCCCAUAAUGUAUUUUAUCAAACAAGAGCAUUUUGUAUUUUAAGUUUGUUGAAAUAAAGAAGUCUUUGUAACUAAAUAAACCGGGAAAAUGAAUUUCCAGAAGCUUUUGAACAAACAUGCCAAAUUGUGCCUUAAUUUGUUUGCAUUUAAAUUAACGAAAGGUGCUAUUGAUUUUGAGCGUGCAACUAAUUGAAUGGAUGUUUUUGAACAAAAAGGUUUAUUAUUAUAAUAUAUGGAUUCAAGCAAACUGGACUUUUGCGAUUAAAAAUUUUUAAAUAUCUAAGUGUCAACGAACGAAUUUCGGAAAUAGCUCUCAAAUGAAUUAAG